CGGGUGAGUAAUACAUCGGAACGUGUCCCGUAGUGGGGGAUAGCCCGGCGAAAGCCGGAUUAAUACCGCAUAUGCUCUACGGAGGAAAGUGGGGGACUCGCAAGGGCCUCACGCUAUGGGAGCGGCCGAUGUCCGAUUAGCUUGUUGGCGGGGUAAUGGCCCACCAAGGCGACGAUCGGUAGCUGGUCUGAGAGGAUGAUCAGCCACACUGGGACUGAGACACGGCCCAG
rnacentral:rRNA from 1 species